GAACUUUGCAAAGUUGUUAGCCAUUGGGUUGGCAGCCAGAUGCCUUACUUACAGAAGUAGACAAGUUCGCGUAACCACUAGGCUGUUAACCUUGACUUUCUCCAAUUUCGUAGGUUGCGUAGCAAGUAUCACAACACUUUAGGACUUGGUGUAGGUUGUUUUGCGCUUCGCAGAGGUGAAGCUUAUCGACUACGUAGCAUGUCGGCAGUGGAUAAAACUUCGUAUAUGCGUGCUAGCUUGUUUAACUUUUCACAAGAAUGUGCGGUUGUAUAAGUCUAGUGCGGCUUUACUGCUUGAAGGGCAAGCCGUAGACAGUCUUCCGGAAUCCGUAGGCUACCUUAGUGCACUCGGUAGUAGCUUUAGGAUUCCAGGGCAGCCGUCCAUCGGAUGUACUGCGUAAUGUGCCCUCUCCGUCUCUAGGGCCCAGUUCCCCACGGAUUAAGCCAAGAGACCCAAAAUCUUUUAGUUAGCUAAGCCUUGAAAAAGACCAUUGCGGCUACUUCUAGGAAUCCCGGCAUAAGCCAUCGUGCAUCUAGUUAUACUAGGGCAACCCGGCUCAUCCACGUCUGGAUAUUCGGAAUGUAGAGUUUAUCCUCCCGUUCUUGGAGAGCUGACCCAUAUGGGUGUCGAGGAAUUGGUUUACCCUUUUGCGUUGGAGAGCAAUUAGUUUACCUUUUCGCACUGGAGAGCAUGGUCGGUCCCUUGGGGGGUGCAAUUCCUGCGGUAAGUCCCUAAGAAGGGCGUGGUCUUCUUUUGAAGUGCAGGAGUGAUCAGUUGUUGUAAGCAUGCAGCCAAGCCAAGUCGUGAUUACUUCUGAAUUCCUCAUUGAAAAAUGAGUUAAACGAACGAGAACUUAGAUGUAAAGUAAGAACUGCAUAACAACUGGAUAAUCCUCGACUAGUGAGGUAGUGCCCGUCGAGCUGCUUGAGUCUUCGGGCUUUGAUGUAGUGAGAGGUCACACAUGGUACUUCCUCAGAUUGUAGGCGUUCCACUGUUUUUCGAUCUUUUUGUCGUUUUAUGGUGGCGAGGGUGUAAUUGUUCUUGC
rnacentral:lncRNA from 1 species